rnacentral:tRNA from 1 species
GCUGUAGUGGUGCAAUGGUAGCACGUAAGCCUGUGGCGCUUAUAGACCGGGUUCGAUUCCCGGCUACGGCC